rnacentral:rRNA from 1 species
UACGGAGGGUGCGAACGUUAAUCGGAAUCACUGGGCGUACAGCGCGCGCAGGCGGUCCACUACGUGCCGUGUGACAAACGUCGGCUUAACCGACGGAGGCCAGGGUACACGGGUGAACUUGAGGCAGAGAGAGGGAUGUGGAAUACCCGGUGGAGCGGUGAAAUGCGUAGAGAUCGGGUGGAACACCAGGGGCGAAGGCGGCAUCCUGGCUCUGUUCUGACGCUGAGGCGCGAGAGCGUGGGGAGCAAACCGG